AACGAACGCUGGCGGCAGGCCUAACACAUGCAAGUCGAACGCCGUAGCAAUACGGAGUGGCAGACGGGUGCGUAACACGUGGGAACAUACCCUUUGGUUCGGAAUAACUCAGGGAAACUUGAGCUAAUACCGGAUAAGUCCGCGAGGAGAAAGAUUCAUCGCCGAAGGAUUGGCCCGCGUCUGAUUAGCUAGUUGGUGAGGUAACGGCUCACCAAGGCGACGAUCAGUAGCUGGCUGAGAGGAUGAUCAGCCACACUGGGACUGAGACACGGCCCAGACUCCUACGGGAGGCAGCAGUGGGGAAUAUUGGACAAUGGGCGCAAGCCUGAUCCAGCCAUGCCGCGUGAGUGAUGAAGGCCUUAGGGUUGUAAAGCUC
rnacentral:rRNA from 1 species